CCUACGGGUGGCAGCAGUGAGGAAUAUUGGUCAAUGGACGGGAGCCUGAACCAGCCAAGCCGCGUGAGGGAAGAAGGUCCAGCGUAUCGUAAACCUCUUUUGUCAGGGAACAAAGGCGGGGACUAGUCCCCGGAUGAGGGUACCUGAAGAAAAAGCAUCGGCUAACUCCGUGCCAGCAGCCGCGGUAAUACGGAGGAUGCGAGCGUUAUCCGGAUUUAUUGGGUUUAAAGGGUGCGCAGGCGGCCUGUUAAGUCAGCGGGAAAAGCCCGGGGCUCAACCCCGGCGCGCCGUUGAAACUGGCAGGCUUGAGUUGGAGAGAAGUACGCGGAAUGCGUGGUGUAGCGGUGAAAUGCUUAGAUAUCGCGCAGAACCCCGAUUGCGAAGGCAGCGUACCGGCUCCACACUGACGCUGAGGCACGAAAGCGUGGGUAUCGAACAGGAUUAGAUACCCCGGUAGUC
rnacentral:rRNA from 1 species